rnacentral:rRNA from 1 species
AAAACGGAGAGUUUGAUCCUGGCUCAGGAUGAACGCUGGCGGUAUGCUUAACACAUGCAAGUCGAACGGUCUCUUCGGAGAUAGUGGCGGACGGGUGAGUAACGCGUGAGAAUCUAGCUUCAGGUCGGGGACAACCACGGGAAACUGUGGCUAAUACCGGAUAUGCCGAGAGGUGAAAGGCUUGCUGCCUGAAGAUGAGCUCGCGUCUGAUUAGCUAGUAGGUGUGGUAAAAGCGCACCUAGGCGACGAUCAGUAGCUGGUCUGAGAGGAUGAUCAGCCACACUGGGACUGAGACACGGCCCAGACU